rnacentral:rRNA from 1 species
AUACGGGAGGCAGCAGUGGGGAAUUUUGGACAAUGGGCGCAAGCCUGAUCCAGCCAUGCCGCGUGAGUGAAGAAGGCCUUCGGGUUGUAAAGCUCUUUCGGACAGAAAGAAAUCGUACGGGCUAAUAUCCCGUAUGGAUGACGGUACUGUAAGAAGAAGCACCGGCUAACUACGUGCCAGCAGCCGCGGUAAUACGUAGGGUGCGAGCGUUAAUCGGAAUUACUGGGCGUAAAGCGUGCGCAGGCGGUUUCGUAAGACAGAUGUGAAAUCCCCGGGCUUAACCUGGGAACUGCAUUUGUGACUGCGAGGCUAGAGUACGGCAGAGGGGGGUAGAAUUCCACGUGUAGCAGUGAAAUGCGUAGAUAUGUGGAGGAAUACCGAUGGCGAAGGCAGCCCCCUGGGUCGAUACUGACGCUCAUGCACGAAAGCGUGGGGAGCAAACAGGAUUAGAUACCCCAGUAGUCU